GCAAUAGUAACUCAGUGGUAGAGCUCCCGCUUUGCAUGUGGGAAGACCUGGGUUCGAUUCCGGGCUGCUUGCC
rfam:Toxocara canis scaffold208, whole genome shotgun sequence.